AGUGGCGAACGGGUGAGUAACACGUGGGUAAUCUGCCCUGCACUUCGGGAUAAGCCUGGGAAACCGGGUCUAAUACCGGAUAUGAGCUCCUGCCGCAUGGUGGGGGUUGGAAAGUUUUUCGGUGCAGGAUGAGUCCGCGGCCUAUCAGCUUGUUGGUGGGGUAAUGGCCUACCAAGGCCACCACGGGUAGCCGGCCUGAAAGGGUGAUCGGCCACACUGGGACUGAGACACGGCCCAGACUCCUACGGGAGGCAGCAAUCCGCAAGAAUGCGCCAUGUAGAGUUUCAUCCUGGCUCAGCACCCUCGGUAAUACAUCGG
rnacentral:rRNA from 1 species